rnacentral:rRNA from 1 species
GCCUUUUGAAUUAUAUAUAAAAGGUACAUCCUGCCCGGUGAAAAAUUUAACGGCCGCGGUACUCUGACCGUGCAAAGGUAGCAUAAUAAUUUGCCUUUUAAUUGAAGGCUAGAAUGAAUGGACAAACGAGGUUUACGCUGUCUCUUUUUAUUUCAUAGAAAUUAGUUUUCAGGUGAAGAAACCUGAAUCUUUAAAAAAGACAAGAAGACCCUAUUGAGUUUUACUUUUAAGAAACCAUUUUUUCUAGAAGUUUGGUUGGGGCGACCAAGGAAUAAUUUAAUCUUCCUUUAAAAAUUCAACUUUAUAGUUUAAACUGAUCCUAUUUUGAUCAAAUGAAUUAACUACCAUAGGGAUAACAGGCUUAUUUUCUCUGAGAGUCCAUAUUAAUGAGAAAGUUUGGCACCUCGAUGUUGGCUUAGGGUAACCUCCAAAUGCAGAAGUUUGGAUUAAGUUAGUUUGUUCAACUAUUAAAUCCCU